UUGCAAACCAUUAGCAUCAGGGUUUCGGGUGACCCUGUGCAUUCCUGCAGUGCUUGCUGAGAGUUUCUAAAAUGGUUUGCUCUGUCCCUUCUGCAGAGCAUGGUCAUAGACAUUUCACAUAGUU
ensembl:snoRNA